rnacentral:rRNA from 1 species
GUGUCAGCAGCCGCGGUAAAACGUAGGAGCCAAGCGUUAUCCGAAUUUACUGGGCGUAAAGCGCGUGCAGGCGGCUGAGUAAGUGGGCUGUAAAAUCUCCCGGCUCAACUGGGAGGGGACGGUCCAGACUGCUUGGCUCGAGGCAGGUAGAGGGAGGUGGAAUUCCGGGUGUAGUGGUGAAAUGCGUAGAUAUCCGGAGGAACACCAGUGGCGAAAGCGGCCUCCUGGGCCUGACCUGACGCUGAGAUGCGAAAGCUAGGGGAGCAAACGGGAUUAGAUACCCCCGUAGUCC